CUCUCUUUGGUUCAGGACGCUUUCCAAGCCUCUCCCCCUCGCUACAUUUCCCCAUCCUUGCAGAGGGUGCUGGGAGGUGUUUGCAAGUUGUUUUUUUUCCUUCCCCCCCCCCCCCACGCACACACACACUCCGUUUCCUCCCCCUUUGCUAAAUAAAUUAAAAGCAGAGAUGUCUCCUGAUGGAGAUGGAUGAGGCUGGGCUCACUUGCAUGCACUGUGCCCCAGCUCCGAUCUGCUGCUUAGGGCAGAAGUGACCUUUCCCAGGCAGUGGGAGGGAGCUUCCCCCCACCCUGCUAUGCUGCUGCUUGGAAUUCAUCUUACAUAGCAGCCUCAUUUUUUUUUUUUUAUCCCCCCCUCCAAAGAACAGCUUGCUGCUACAGUGAUUGUUUUUUAUUAUUUUUAUUUAAUUAUUAUUUUCAGCCCAUGUUGCAGCUUCCUUAUGAUCGUUUUGUGUGUGUGUGUGUGUGUGUAUGCUUUGAACUGCAUUUUAAAUUUGCCCAGCUGGAGACAAGUCUCGAUUAGAGCUGGAACAAUAGCUCCAUUUUAUUAAUAAUGGGAAGGAUUUACGAUUCUACAGCACCUUCCUUGGAAGGCUUUCAAAACCAUUUGCAAACUCUCACAAAUGUAAGCUUUCACAGCCCUGCCUGUGAGGUGGGUAAGUAUUUCCACGGUGCCACCAAAAAUCAGGGAGAGCUGCAGUCGGUGUGUGCUCCAAUAACGGCAGAUCCGGUGGGUUUCAGGGCUGCAAAGCCGGGAGGAGGGAGGCUGGUAAAAGCUGUAACCUCAAUCUGUUUGGUGCUGUCUGUAGAUGCAGAUAUUUGUCUUUGUCUUGGGAACCAGGCUGCUAUUUCUCAGCCUGCUCUGUGCUCCUCCUUGCUUUUUGCAGAUUGAGGAUUCGGACUUGCCUGCUUGUCAGUAAACAUCUGCUUAUAGAUUAUUAUUAUUAUUAUUUUUUAAUUCAUUGCUUUUUUGUAGUCCCCAGGUGACCUCCUUUAGUGCUGGCUCCGCUGCGGUCUGACCACAGCUUUGCAUUAAGGCAGGCUGCGAGCACUAAUGUGUCUCCAUGCGAGUCCACGUGACAUUGCCCAGGGGACAGGGCCCACUGAGCUAAUGCAGAUGCUCCACUUCAAUUACACAACCCUGCAUCCCCUCCCUGACCCGAGUAGUGCAGGGGAAUGUUGCAAUGUUGUGGGUGAAAGCUGCCUUCUGCCCUAAUUUUUGUAUAUAUAUUUUUUUCCUCCCAGGGAAAUGCAGGAUUGUUUGUGUAACUCCCACUCUACAGCAGAUAGCUUCUCUGUCACCAUGACUUCAAUGUGCACAGUCCAAGCAGUCACUUGUGAGCAAGGAGAGCAGGUAUUGGCACCUCCUCAUUAGCCUUCAUCAAUGAGAAUAUUGGCUAUGGUGUUGCGUGAGUGCCACUGGCUGACCAAUGGAGGGGCCCUACCCUGCUAAGCUGGAGCAACACUUUCUGAGUGGUGAUUUCAUUGCCUGGUUGCUGCAGUGAUUUGGAGCACAGCUGUGACGUUAUGCUUUUUCUGGCAAAAAUUUAGCUGAGGGGCCACUGUACCCUGUGGGAAUUGUACUACUUUUCUGUGGCAGUUUGGGAUAACUGAGGGCUUCCUUGGGAGUGUUGGACUUCUACCGCCACACGCUUUGGAUUGAAGAGUUACCAGAACGACAUCUGUGAGGUUUCCAAGCUAAACAAAACCUGAAUUUCUGGUGCAAAAAGCAAGUGAGUGAUAGAAACCUCUGCUCCUCUUCCAGCGGGGGGACACUGCAGCCUUUUAAGCUUUCCUAUUAUGCCAAAGAGGUAAAAAAGCAUAAGCAUGCAUUGUGUUAUGCAGUGCUAUUGGUGAUAUAAAAUGAAAGCCAAAGCUAGCCAAGAAACUGUUCUCCUUUCAAAUACAUCUCCACGCACAAGUACUUUUCUUCUUUGCCUUUCCCUGAAGUGAGAGAGCAAUAAGGGCACAAGCGUGCGCUCAGUCUGCUUCAUUUAGAACACAGUGAAGUGACUUCGGUGCCAACAUGAUGAAUCAAAAGCAUUGAAGAUAGCUGGCUUGCUAUUUAUUUUGCUCUGGGCAUGACAAUCAGAUGUGAUUGGGGAUGUGAAGAAGAGCAGCCUUCAACUCACAGAGUUGCACUGUUUUAAACCCUUGUCCUGUGACUUCUCCAGCGUGAUUUCUGUCAUUCCUGCUGGGCAUUGCACGUGGGCCUUUUCAUGGAGAGGUAACGCCCUGCAGCUGUGUGUUAAACAUGGCAACAUACAGGAUACAGUGAUCUCUCCACUCCCAGGAGGUUUGUAUCCUUUGCAGUAGUCAAAUCAGGUGGGGCUGGGGGGCUUUUCUUUUUUUUCAUCUUAUUCCCCUGAAAUGUUCUGUUUCACAGCCUGGAAGACUGAAGCCCUCUGCCUAGAGGAUGAAAUGCUUCAUGUUUGGAAAAAAAACUAGCAGUGGCAUUAUUUUGCAGCAGCUCUCAUCCCCUGCGUUGUGUGGAUGAGAACAGCAUGGAGUCUGGCUGGGAGCAGUGCUUGAAAAGGAGUCAGAGAAUCCUGGUACAGCUGAUGCAGUGACUCAAAGGGACAGAGUUAACACAUCGUGAAGACUUGGAGCGCUACCCUGUAAAAGGCUUUGUCUGUGACAGCUCCUUUCCUGUGGAUGUCCUUCCAGCCAGGCUGCCCGCAGUGUGACAGCAGUGACCCUGUGUGAGGUUUCUUUGAAGGACCUGGGAGACUGCGUGGCUUUUUCUUGUCCCUCGGAGGUGCUUCCCUGGCAGGGAGGGAGGAAAAUGAUUGGCAGUGCUGUCACAGGAGGCAUGCUUACCUGGCUAGGGGAAAGCUUGGUGUGGAAAAGCCAGCUGGUGCAUGGUUUGGGGAAGGAGAGGUUCCUUUCUCUCCAGAAUGGAAUCCCUUAAGGAAGGUAUAGACAAGCAGUUCCUGCUCUUGGGGCUUCUGGCUGGUUAAAACAAAGAGCUGAGCCCAUUUCCAUGGAGAAAUGUAUAAUAGAGCACGUUGCAGUGCUUUUCCUUGCGUGUGCGUGGCUUGGUCACACGUUUAACUAAUAGAUGGUUUGCAUGCAAGAGGUUAUUGCUUUUUUAUACUUUCAAUCAGUCCAUCUCCAUUGGGCAGAGCAGCUUCACAGCCACCAGCACGGGGGAAACUGAGGCACGGGGCUACAGUGGGAUUACAGGCAGAGCCGGGGAUAAGGCUCAGGUUUGCCGAGGCUCAGACCGACGUGCGUCAGAGGGCUGAUUAAAUGGAGAGAUUUGCAAAGGGAAGUGACCUAUAGCUCCAUGGCCGGGACGGUGUGCUGGACUCGAUCCUUGUGGGCACCUUCCAACUCAAAGGGCAGUUUGGUCAGGGGUAGGGCUGGGUAAGCACGGCGAGCGCGGCCGACAGGGAGCGAGAUGUGGUGAGCUCCUUCCAUUGCCUUAGCCUGGAGCACAGCCAACCCGCGGGGCUCAUCCAGCACUGAACUUUGGAGUCGUUGCAGAUAAACAGCGCUAUAGGCUAAUAAAAGGCUCUGCCACGCAGGGCCCGGUCUGCCCGCACCGCAAUGACUUUGUUACGUGCUGACUGCAGUGAGGGACGGCGCUGGGUUUGCCUUCUCCUGGCCUUGGAUGGAGAGGAGCGGGCAGAACCUCGAGGCCUUUUGCCCCGCACCCAUUUCUGCACGGCAGCCCUUUACAUUUCACAGCGUGCUCCAUUUUUUUUCCUACUCCUAUUCCUUUUGUAGCACAGCCCCCCUUUUUUGCAACAGUCCCCCUUUCUUCCUUCGUACCGUAUGUUUUAUUUGCUUAUUUCUUUAUGUGCAAUCCCUUAAUCCAUCACCUUGCAUUGCAGCCCCGCUUUUCGGCAUGCAUCCCUUGCUUUCCACAACCCACCUCGUGCAUUUAUUACUUUCCAUCGCAGCUCCCGUUUCUGGCUCGCACCUCCUCUUUUUUUUUUUUUUUUUUUUUUUGGCCGUGCUUCCUUUAUCUAUGACUUCCCAUCCCAGCCCUGUUUGUAUCUGCCAUACAGUCCCUCCGUCACGUCGCGUUACACCGCGCUCUGCCCGCUCCGCUCCCGCAGCCCUCCACCGCUGCGCUCCCCGCGCAUGCGCACUCCCCCUCCC
ensembl:lncRNA